UGUUUAAUUAAAACAAAGCAUUGCGAUGGCUGGUGACUGGUGUUGACGCAAUGUGAUUUCUGCCCAGUGCUCUGAAUGUCAAAGUGAAGUAAUUCAUCCAAGCGCGGGUAAACGGCGGGAGUAACUAUGACUCUAACAUCAUGCAAACCUAAGAGGAACGUGGCUAAUGUGCAAUAGGCUCUAAAGGCUUAAACACAGGAUU